rnacentral:lncRNA from 1 species
UAUAUAUAGUCAUCAUAUGCAUCAUGCAUCCUAAUUAAUUGAUCAUGUCAAGUAAUAAUAUAAAUUAGAAUAACUUGUCUCUCAUAAGACCUAGUCCUCACUCUUACAUAUAAUGUCAUAAAACAGAAUAACACCUCUGGCUCCAUGAUGAAUCACAGAGAUCCAACGGUCUCCAGCUUGUGGCUUGCGAACCUUCUUUAUUUCUCUCCAUGCUUCAAUUUGGAGUCUUUUUUAUCUUGAUUUGAAGUUAAUCAAGUAUGGAGCAUAGAACUCGGCCCUCAGCGGGCUUCUAAUUCUCAUUUGACCUUCUGGGUCCAUUAACGGAGGCACUACAUCAUGUGGCAGUUGCUGUUGAAGAACAUAAUAAUAACCUAGUUAGCAAUGUAAUCAACACCAUUUAUGCAAUAGUGGAGCGUACUUAAUUAGGAAACUCUUACCAAGACAUUUCGGCGAAUGUCAUCUGGACUCAACCUAUGCACUAGUGGCAUGUAAAAUGAAUAAUUUUGGCCAAUUGCAAAAUGAUACGGGAAGGUAUCCCUAGAAGCCAGAACACCAGCAACAAGAAAGUGGAGAAGAUGGUCCUUCUCCUCCCAAGUUAGAUGUGAUCCAUACGUGUAGUGUGUCGUGUCAAUUAAUUUUCGGAAUUCAGUCGAAGCAGCGAAAUAAGCUGUAAAUUAUAAUUUAACAAAUUUAGUAUAUAGAUGAACACCAACUAUUUCUAAAUAUAAAUGCAAAUUACUUCACAUGGAGGUAAAACAGGAAGCAUAUCAUCGACAACCACCCAAAUUUUGUAAUAAUUUAAUGUUUCAAAAAUACUUAGAAAUUUUGUAAUUGUCCACAAGAUGUGGGCAUUAUAUAAACCAUUCAAAACGACCACAUGUGCUACGAUCAUUCAAAGGACAAUUUGGGUUGUUAUUGUUGUUUGUACAACAUGUAACAUGAUAUAAUUAUAACUAUGGCCUAAUAACUAGGAACCUGCAACGUGUGGCCAAAGUUUUAAUAGACGAUGAACACCACAUGACAUGUAAAUUACGAGAGGAAACUCGUCUGUUACAAAAGGAUUUCAUUUUUUUGAACUUAUUUGAACUCCAUAGUUUUUCUGUGUUCAAAAUGCACCAUUCAAAGCCACAUCACCAAUUUACAACCCUUUCUGACUUCAUUUGUUAUUUUUCAUGCAUUUACUGAUUAUUUUGAGCUAUAAGACCAUGAAAUUGAAAAGCAUUUGAAAUGAACUCUGAAAAGGUUCCAAGUUGGCAUGAUAUCAUCAUUUCACCCACAUAGCAUGUGCGAGAAAGUUGAGAGGGUUACGGCCAAAACUGGAUGCACUUCGUGUACAAAACGGACAAUCUCUUUCGAAGUAUCAGGGUUUCAUACGGAAACUCGUGUGUUACAAAGGGAUUUCAUUUUUUUGAACUUAUUUGAACUCCAUAGUUUUUCUGUGUUCAAAAUGCACCAUUCAAAGCCACAUCAUCAAUUUACAACCCUUUCUAACUUCAUUUGUUAUUUUUCAUGCAUUUACUGAUUAUUUUGAGCUAUAAGACCAUGAAAUUGAAAAGCCUGCCCCACUAGCUCAGUGGGAGGGGGGUCAAUCCAAACAACCCAAUCACACUCAUUAGGAAGCUGUUAAAUCAGUGUUCACAUAAUUAGGUGAAAUUCAUAACUUUGCAAUAAAUCGAUGAAAACAGAGUACCAAAUGAUGUUUUGAGGAAAUACAUCGAGUGGACAACCCAAAAACCUUCUUCCCAUGCUUGCUCCACCCCAAGAAACACGGCGAGCAGGAAUUAGCCCAUGCCACGGGAAACGGUGAUUCGAGCGCUCCUCAAGGCCGUAGAAACUUGGAUUGGGAAUGAAAAAUUCGGAUUGGAACUGCACAGUCCCGCAGUCAUCCACCUACGAGCUAGAAAGGCGCAUAUUACAGCCCAUCCCAUGAAACCCUAGAUGAGAAAUCCCCAAAUCCAAUGUCAACCGAAAAUCCAAAUCGACUUACCUCACUGUCUGCGGAGGAGCUUGCACACGACAUUGCGGACGUACACAUGGACGUGCCCCAGCGGUGAAAACGGGGACGGGGCGUGACGGACCGCUAAAUCUAGACAAAUCUCGGGAAAAAUGGAGCUCCGAGGUCAAGCUUCGAGAGGAGAAAGCUUAACUAGUGUGGCUCGGGCAUUUCAUCGAACACCUCAUGUGCAUAGGAGUUAAGCUAGAGCACCCAAAUGCCCUCCCCUCGCCGGCCAGAAAAAAACAGAGUGCUCUGCCGCGGCGAUGGGUAUAUAUAGGCAAAUUAUUUGUCCCGGUUCGUGGCAUAAACCGGGGCUAAAGCCCCCCUUCUAAACCGGUUCAAGGCAUGAACCGGUACCAAUGGAUGUGGGCCAGGAGCGCGGCCCAUUGGUCCCGGUUCGUGCCUAGAACUGGGACAAAUGGGUCCACACAAACCGGGACCAAUGCCCACGAGGCCCCAGCCGGCCCCCUGGGUCCAUGAACCGGGAGUAAUGCCCCCCAUGGGUCCCGGUUCGUGAAGAACCGGAACUAAUGGGCUGGCCAGGCCCGAACCAAAGCCCUAUUUUCUACUAGUGCUCCUUAUAUUUUUUUUCCUGGUCAUUAACUAACUUCCUAUUAUUUUAUAUAAGCCAUCUCUAGCACUCAACUCAAUAGUAUUUCUCUUGGAUCAAAUUUCCCUCCCAUUCACUCCCUCGUGUUUUUUAUGAUCUCCUUUUGUGUGGUCAAGCCAUUGUUAUUGAAUCGAACCAGAUGAGCCAAACUAUCCGUGGAUUUUGUUCUAUUUCUGGACAAAUCCCUACAUGGAGCAAAUCUAGAAUCAUUUUAAGAUGUGUUGUUCUUGUUCACAUAAAAGUUGCAAUCAAACAAGUUCUUUAAGAGAAAAACCAUCAAGUAGGUGUUGACUGAAGAGUAUGAACCUGCAUACAAGAUCAAUACAAGCAAAAGAGCAAGAGAAACAUGAACAAGCCCUUUAGUUUGUUACACUAUUGCACGAUGCUCAAAGGAAAUGAGAAGCAAGCAAGAAGAAAGGAAACAACAUCAAGGAAGAUGCAUCUCAUCUUCCGUUAGUCUCAAGGAGGAUGGUGAUGGUGAACAUGAGAGGGGGGAGAAGUGCCACCCUAGCUCCAUGUGGAUCGAUGAAAGAGAAAGCUAUGAAACAAUAUGGAGUUCGCAAGAUGAAAUAAUAACUCAAAUAAACAAAAGAGAAAAAGAUGGAGCCGGCCCUCGAACGAAAGUAAGAGGAAAUAGAGCAGAAGUUGAAGCUCGAGACUAAAAGGAAAUAAAUAAGAAGAACGAGCAAGAGGAACCAAUCAUGUUUAUGGAGGCUAGUGAGAUGGAUUAGACCAGAGAACACUAUAGGGACUUGGGAGCUUGCUCGUGGACAAAUCUUGGCUUUGAAAAUGCCAAUUCAAUGUCCUAUAGUAGUAGAAGUGGUAGUGACCAGUGGCGGAGCUUGGGCUGAAUUUAUGUAGGAGCAAGAAACAUGACUAUAGCCUGAUUUUAGGUGGACAUAUGGGCUGAAUGCUAGGGGAUAUAUGCUAGCUUUCUCAUAGGCUGGGGGUGAGGGCUCAUGUUGCUCUCCACUAAGCUCCGCCUA